AAUACGGAGGGUGCAAGCGUUAAUCGGAAUUACUGGGCGUAAAGCGCGCGUAGGCGGCUGGAUAAGUCGAUUGUGAAAGCCCCGGGCUCAACCUGGGAAUUGCAGUCGAGACUGUUCGGCUAGAGUGUGGGAGAGGGCAGUGGAAUUCCCGGUGUAGCGGUGAAAUGCGUAGAUAUCGGGAGGAACAUCAGUGGCGAAGGCGACUGCCUGGCCCAACACUGACGCUGAGGUGCGAAAGCGUGGGUAGCAAACAG
rnacentral:rRNA from 1 species